ACUGGCCUCCAAGUUUUCUAGGAUGAUGCAAUGUCCAGCCAUCAACACAUUUGUGAAGGAAUUUUUACUCCCCAAAAGAGCGCCCCCCCAUGGCAGGAGAAAAAAGUCCAUUUUUUUCUUGUCCCCUAAGGUGAAAAUACACAUUGUUGACUGUCACGCCUGUACGCUUUGUCAAAAUGACACAAAAAUUGACACACACAUGUAUCUCAAUAAGAUCUACAAAAAAGUCCACGCGCGCGUAUCUGUCAAAUGUACGGUUAAAGGGUUAUUGCGCAUUUUUUGCCGAUUCGCACACAUUGGAAUUUCGCUAACUCCUCCGAAGGCUUUCGUUCCACCGGCACCACAUUUGCUCAGGCCAAAUUACACCCCAUGGCCAUUAAAAGUUAUUCAAAUCAUGAUGCUGCACCCCACGGUUUACGUUCUAGGGGGCGCCAAAGAUAACCCAAAAAUCCACAUUUUUAAAAGUCUUAUAACUUUUUAUUUUUGUCCUCACUGGCCUCCAAGUUUUCUAGGAUGAUGCAAUGUCCAGCCAUCAACACAUUUGUGAAGGAAUUUUUACUCCCCAAAAGAGCGCCCCCCAUGGCAGGAGAAAAAAGUCCAUUUUUUCUUGUCCCCUAAGGUGAAAAUACACAUUGUUGACUGUCACGCCUGUACGCUUUGGCAAAAUGACACAAAAAUUGACAAUCAUGUGUAUCUCAAUUAGAUCUACGAAAAAGUCAAAGAGCGCGUAUCUGUAUAAUGUACGGUAAAAGGGCUAUUUUGCAUUUUUUGCCGAUUCGCACACAUUGGAAUUUCGCUAACUCCUCCUAAGGCUUU